UACGAGCCACCCAAACGUUAUUCGGAAUUAUUGGGCGUAAAGAGCUCGUAGGCGGCUUGUCGCGUCGGGUGUGAAAGCUUGGGGCUUAACCCCAAGUCUGCAUCCGAUACGGGCAGGCUAGAGGCAGGUAGGGGAGAACGGAAUUCCUGGUGUAGCGGUGGAAUGCGCAGAUAUCAGGAGGAACACCAACGGCGAAGGCAGCUCGCUAGGACGGUACUGACGCUGAGACGCGAAAGCGUGGGGAGCAAACAGG
rnacentral:rRNA from 1 species